UACGUAGGGGGCUAGCGUUGUCCGGAAUCAUUGGGCGUAAAGAGCGCGUAGGCGGCCAGAUAAGUCCGGUGUGAAAGUCAAAGGCUCAACCUUUGAAUGCCGCUGGAAACUGUCUGGCUAGAGUCCGGGAGGGGCGAGUGGAAUUCCUGGUGUAGCGGUGAAAUGCGCAGAUAUCAGGAGGAACACCAAUGGCGAAGGCAGCUCGCUGGAACGGUACUGACGCUGAGGCGCGAAGGCGUGGGGAGCGAACAGG
rnacentral:rRNA from 1 species